rnacentral:lncRNA from 1 species
GUACAUGUGUUCGAGAAGGAGCCAGGAACUCCUUGAAGGUUCCUAAACCCUAAUCAUGAAGAUCACCAAAUUGAGGGGUUAAUUGUAGCUCAAAUUCAAGAAGGAACAUGGAUUAAUGAUCACCUAAGUAUUUCCUACAACAAGUGAUCGUAUGUUCUGAGGUGUUGAUGAUAAGCAUCAUGUCAAGAGGACGCAAGCACGAAUGGCAAUCGGGUCAAGAGGAGACAAGGAAAUGGUCACGAAUACGGACACUUAAGGUAAGUGACUUCCGACUCACUUCUUAGUAUACAUGAGGAUUUUCUUGUUUGUAAAUGAAGGGAAGCUAUGUAUAGUAUGAAAUAAGUGAAAGUAUUAAGAUAAGUAUUGAUAUAGAUAGUUGAAGGUAGUUUGUGGGACCAAACGGGUCGAAUAAAUAAGAAUAAGUAAGCUAACGGUGAUGAUACGGGUAAUGAUUAGGGACCCGGGAAAGAAAUUUUAGUCUAAUACGUAAGGAAUCAUUUUACGGACGUUUAGGAACAGGUUUCAUGUGAAACGGAUGCAUAACGAACGAGUUACGCGAGUUUUAAUAUUUAAAAUGAGGGCUGAACUGGGCAUCACCGUAGCUUACGGUGCCCACCGUAAGCUACGGUGGGUGCUGGGAAUGUUGUUUCUGCCGUAAGGCAGGUUAAGGCUGCCGUAUGGAUUUGGGGGCCACCGUAAGCUACGGUAGCCACAGUAGCUUACGGUGGAGGUCUGAUGUAAUUGUUUUGUUUGUGUAGUUUCUUCGUUUUACCUCGAACGUGGACCCCAUGAACCCAUUCCAAGCCUUGUUAAGUCUUUAUGAUGUUCCUUAACCCUACCAAAUGGCUUGGUUAGUCACGGAUAAGUAUGAAACUCAUCUUUAAGAUCCGAAACAUAUCUGAAAGAUAUUUUAGAAGCGUUUGUGACAUGUGAAUCAGUUCGGAAUGUGCGAGUGUGUACGCGGGGUAAUGAAUUAAGUAAGUGAGUAGGUAUGCUUGUAGGGAUUAGUGUAUGUACGUAUGUAUGAAUACAUGUAUGUAUGUAUGUAUGUAUGUAUGUAAUCACCUAAUUAGGCAAGUCGUAUGCCGUAUGUAUGCAUGUAUGUAAGUAUGUGAGUAGGUAAGUUUAUAUGUAGUAAUGCGUGUAUGCAUGUAUGUAAGUGUGUGAGCAGGUAUUUUUGUAUGAAGUAAUAUAUAUGCAUGAAUGUGUGUAGGUAUGUAUGUACGUAGUUAUGUAUGUAAUGCAUACGUGGUUUCAAUACUCUUAAGUAUUGACGAUAUUAACAGUGUGCCUCGAGAAUGAAAUGUGGUGCAGGUUCUCCAUCGAGGUUCGCUAAGGAUUAGGCACCCGGAGGGGCAGACUACAUCUAGAAAGUUAACGGAUGGAGAGAAUAUGUGGAUAAAACAAAUCAAGAUCACACAAUUAGAAUCUUGUUUGUAUAUAAUGUAUGCUAAUGUUUCGAUUGUAUGUGAUGGGUGCAGGUAGUACGAAUCACAGAUUUUCAUUCCAAGGAGUAGCGAUCAAAGACCGAGUCACAAGUCAGAUUGUACGGGAAUACUUGACUAUGUAAAUUGAUAGUUAUAAGUUAUACUUUCGUUAUGUAAAUUAAGUAUAAAAGAUGCAUGUAAUGUAAGAAAGUGUUUUAUAGUGAACUUGCUAGUAGGUCAAAACGUUCUUAACGAAAGAAAUUUUUAUGGAACGACUUUUCCGCUGCGUCUUUUCAGUUAUAACGUGUUAGGGUGUUACAAGUUGGUAUCAGAGCCCUGGUUUGAGAGAAUCAAGUAGAAGGAGGUAAAUACUUGAACUCAAACCGGUGUGCUCUCGUGACUAAGGACCCGUACAAUCUAAGACUCGAUCAAGAUUUAAGGAAAGAAGCCGAGGUAAGUAUGUGUUUAAGUAUGUAUUCGAAGAUAACUAACAGUAUGUUAUGUGUAAGGACAGCAUGACUGCUUGCAAAGGAAGAUUUGUAAAUGCGGUCUAGCGCCGGCACCAAGGUAUGUAAUAUGACAUAUUGAUCGAGGUACGUAGAAUUAGCUUAUGGGAGCAUGAAAUGGUAUAAUUAAGCAAGAGAAAGAAUAUUUUAAAUGAAAUAUCAUAAUAAUAUGGUAAGGAAGUUUUGAAAAUGUUACACGUGCCGAAACUUAAAUCUGCGGACAUAAGGUGGCGAUUACGCGAAGGCACGAAACUAGUAUGUGGAUUGCGUACCUGGCCAGUACACAAGAAACAUAUGAUGUUCGUGAGACCGUGAUAAUUGUUACAGGUACGUCCGUUAGAAUUAGGUAGUAGGUGGACGUGGGGGGGAUGGAUGAAAAGAAAUGUAAGACUUUCAGGAAUGAAAGUAUGAACGAUAUGCUGGAAUCCGCGAGACGGACUCGAAGCAUGAAAGGAAUGAAGUAUGAAUGAUCUGUUGAAUCCGCGAGACGGAUUCAACACGU